rnacentral:rRNA from 1 species
AAACAAAAACAACCGGUGAACUUGUUAAACUACGAGGGGCUGAGGCGUGGGAGGCAGCGAUGCCCCUCCUCGUCUCCCCCCAAAGUCGGGGCGCGAGCCUCGCAAAACUGAACCCCGGCGCGGAAAGCGCCAAGGAAUACUGAAAAUGAGGGCCUUCCUUUUCCCGCCCCGUUCGCGGGGCGUGGGGCGAGGCAAUGGCUUCUUCUCGAAUGAGAAAACGACUCUCGGCAACGGAUAUCUCGGCUCUCGCAUCGAUGAAGGACGUAGCGAAAUGCGAUACUUGGUGUGAAUUGCAGAAUCCCGUGAACCAUCGAGUCUUUGAACGCAAGUUGCGCCCGAAGCCGUUAGGCCGAGGGCACGUCUGCCUGGGCGUCACGCAUCGCGUCGCCCCCCGCACUCCGCGCCCUCCUGGGGCGCGUCAGUCCGUGCGCGGGGGCGGAUUGUGGCCUCCCGUGCCAUCCGGCGCGGUUGGCCGAAAUGCGAGUCCGGGGCGAAGGACGUCACGACAAGUGGUGGUUGGAACCUUCAACUCUCGUGCUGUCGUGCCGUGUCCUGUCGCCCGACCGAGACUGGAACGACCCUGACGCGCCUCGUCUCGUUCCGAACGGAAUGAGCCAUGCGUACAACCGCAACCCCAGGUCAGGGGGGACUACCCC